rnacentral:piRNA from 1 species
UUAAGUCCCACACAACCAUGUUCACUU